GACGAGGGGUCCUAGCGUUGUUCGGAAUCAUUGGGCGUAAAGCGUGUGUAGGCGGCCUUACAAGUCAGUUGUGAAAGCCCCGGGCUCAACCCGGGAAGUGCUUCUGAUACUGUUUGGCUUGAGUACUGGAGAGGAUAGUGGAAUUCCAGGUGUAGUGGUGAAAUGCGUAGAUAUCGGGAGGAACACCAGUGGCGAAGGCGACUACCUGGCCUGUUCUUGACGCUGAGGCGCGAAAGCUAGGGGAGCAAACGGG
rnacentral:rRNA from 1 species